AUGGUGCAGCUCCGCAGCUCGCUCAGCAUGACCCGGGCGCGCGCUCGCGGCGGUGACUCGGACGACGCCGACGACCGCGGCUGGAACCAGCUCCACGUCGCCGCCCGCAAGGGCAACCUCAAGGAGGUGAGACGUCUCCUGAAUGAAGGGAUGGAUGUCAAUGCACCCGCAUGGGGACCAAAGUCUCCUGGCGCUACUCCGCUGCACCUUGCUGCUCAGGGCGGGCAUGUGAAAAUCAUGGAUGAACUACUGGAGCGCGGUGCAAAUAUCGAUGCCCGAACAAAAGGAGCUUGUGGCUGGACUCCCCUGCACAUUGCUGCCAAGGAAAGAAACAAGAGGGUGGUCAGGUUCCUUGUCGAGAAUGGCGCAUUCCUGCCCCCUGACCUGAACGACCACAGGUUCAACCCACCCCUCCACUACUGCUCUGGGCUGGAGUGGGCGUACGAGAUGAAGCGCAUGCAGGACGAGAGUGACUCGGGCGGUGAAGCUUCCUUCAGCUCGUCCAACUAG
rnacentral:rRNA from 1 species